rnacentral:lncRNA from 1 species
UCUCUCUCUCUCUCUCUCUCUCUCUCCUCUCUUCAGAUUUACUUAUUUAACACAUGUGUGUCAGUGUGCCUUUGUCUGGGCAGGUAUUCUAAGAUCCCAUGGAGCUGCAGUUCCGGGUUCCGGGUUCAGGGUUCCAGGUGCGUGGUUGGGGCAACCUGAUGCCGGCAGCACUGGGAACCCGCCCCAGACUUUCUGCUAGAGCAUCAAAUGCUCUUACCUGUUCCUGAUGCCAACAUCCUUCAUAGUAAGUUGUGGUACUGAUUUUCUUCUUCAGAGUUGCCCUGGCCAUUUUCCAUGCUUUCGUUUCUAUACCAAGGUUAGAAUUAGCCUGUCAGUUUCCAUAAAACAAAAAUCUGACAUUUUGGCUACAUUUUGUUUGGUUCUGUAGUUCAACUCUGGAGAACUUAUGAUUUGAAAUAUUGACUCUUUCACCCCACUGAUACCGUGUCUUUCCAUUUAUGCUAAUUCCUUUCUAGUUUCUCUCAACAGUGUUUGGUAGAACUCUGCACAGUGGCUUUCCUUAUCUCCUAUUUAAAUUAUCUCUAGACAUUUAAUUUUUAAUGUCCUUGUGAAUGUCACUGUUUUUUAAA